ACCCUUUCAGGAUCAUACCUGGAGAGUUUCCAAUACUCUACCAGUCUUGGCUAUGGGAGCGAGAGUCGAGCAGUUGCAUACCCAUUCCAUUCCUAGCUUGGGCAGUGGCUAGUGAGUGGAAGGCAAUCUGCUAUAACU